GGACCCCAGGUCAGGCGGGACUACCCG
rnacentral:rRNA from 1 species